rnacentral:rRNA from 1 species
AACGAACGCUGGCGGCAGGCCUAACACAUGCAAGUCGAGCGGGUCCUUCGGGACUAGCGGCGGACGGGUUAGUAACGCGUGGGAACGUGCCCAAAGGUACGGAAUAGCCUCGGGAAACUGAGGGUAAUACCGUAUGUGCCCCUCGGGGGAAAGAUUUAUCGCCUUUGGAUCGGCCCGCGUUGGAUUAGGUAGUUGGUGGGGUAAUGGCCUACCAAGCCGACGAUCCAUAGCUGGUUUGAGAGGAUGAUCAGCAACACUGGGACUGAGACACGGCCCAGACUCCUACGGGAGGCAGCAGUGGGGAAUCUUAGACAAUGGGGGAAACCCUGAUCUAGCCAUGCCGCGUGGACGAUGAAGGCCUUAGGGUUGUAAAGUCCUUUCAGCUGGGAAGAUAAUGACGGUACCAGCAGAAGAAGCCCCGGCUAACCCCGUGCCAGCCGCCGCCGUAACAC